rnacentral:tRNA from 1 species
GAGGGUAUAGCCCAGUGGUAGAGCACAUGCUUAGCAUGCACAAGGUCCUGGAUUCAAUCCCCAGUACCUCCA